rnacentral:rRNA from 1 species
CGGUCUCAGUUCGGAUUGAAGGCUGAAAUUCGCCUUCAUGAAGCUGGAAUUGCUAGUAAUGGCAGGUCAGCAUACUGCCGUGAAUACGUUCCCGGGCCUUGUACACACCGCCCGUCAAACCAUGAGAGUUGGCAACACCCGAAGUCGGUAGUCUAACCGCAAGGAGGACGCCGCCGAAGGUGGGGUCGAUGAUUAGGGUUAAGUCGUAACAAGGUAAC